ACAUGCCUACAACAUAGUGUUAAUGCAUCAGAUCUCAUUAGAACUCUGUAGUUAAGUGCGCUCAUGCUAGAGUAGUACUGGGAUGAGUGACUUCCUAGGAAGUUCUAGCGUUUUACAUGCC
rnacentral:rRNA from 1 species